AGGGUUUGAUCAUGGCUCAGAACGUACGCUGGCGGCACGCCUAAUACAUGCAAGUCGAACGAAGUAGCAAUACUUAGUGGCAGACGGGUGAGUAACAUGUGGGUAUCUUCCCUUUGGUGAGGAAUAACACGAGGAAACUUGUGCUAAUACCUCAUAAGUCUUUACAGAGAAAGCUUUAUGCGCCAUUGGAUGAGCCCGCACUUGAUUAGUUUGUUGGUGGGGUAAUGGCCUACCAAGACAAUGAUCAAUAGCUGAUUUGAGAGGAUGAUCAGCCACAUUGGGACUGAGACACGGCCCAAACUCCUACGGGAGGCAGCAGUAGGGAAUCUUGCACAAUGGAGGAAACUCUGAUGCAGCGAUGCCGCGUGAGUGAAGAAGGCCUUUGGGUUGUAAAGCUCUUUCGUCGGGGAAGAAAAUGACUGUACCCG
rnacentral:rRNA from 1 species